UACAGAGGUCUCAAGCGUUGUUCGGAUUCAUUGGGCGUAAAGGGCGCGUAGGCUGCGGGGCAAGUCGGGUGUGAAAUCUCAGAGCUCAACUCUGAAACUGCACUCGAUACUGCUUUGCUCGAGGACUGGAGAGGAGAUUGGAAUUCACGGUGUAGCAGUGAAAUGCGUAGAUAUCGUGAGGAGCACCGGUGGCGAAGGCGGCCACCUGGACGAUGACUGACGCUGAGGCGCGAGAGUGUGGGGAUCAAACAGG
rnacentral:rRNA from 1 species